GAAAAUAAAGCGAUGAAGGGCUUUUUUUUUUUUGGUGUGGUUUAGUGGCGACGGGGGAAGUAAUUACGAGGGCAACCUCCCCCCUCCUCUUCGAGAUAAGCUUUAGAAACGGGUAAAUAUACAGAUGUCCCUCUCUGCUCACAGACCGGGCGGAGAAAGAUUUUCUCCCCCAAAAGGAUCUCCCCCCUAUCAACUUUUUGUGGGGUGGCCCCUCACAACGCGUCGACGUGUACCGCUGUGAGAGGGGUGUCGGCCACACUGGGACUGAGAUACGGCCAGACUUCUCCGGGAGGCCGCAGUGGUGGAUAUUGCACAAUGGGCGCAACCCUGAUGCAGCGACGCCGCGUGGGGGAUAGAGGCUUUCGUGUUGAAACCCUCUCCCGCGAGACAAAACUCCUUUUGGCGGUGUUGAGGGUACGCCUCAGAGAAGCCCGGCUAUCUACGUGCCGCACAGCCGCGGUAAUAUAUAGGGCGCGAGCGUUGUCCGGAAUUAUUGGGCGUAAAGAGCUCGUAGGCCGCUUGUCGUCUCUGCUGUGAAAAACGCGGGGCUCAACUCCGCGCGUGCAGUGUGUACGGGCAGGCUAGAGUGCGGCAGGGGUGGCUGGAAUUCCUGGUGUAGCGGUGGAAUGCGCAGAUAUCACAAAGAACAGAUAUGGAGAAGCCAGGCCACUGGGCCGUCACUGACGCUGAGGAGCGAAAGCGUGGGGAGCGCACAGG
rnacentral:rRNA from 1 species